AUGGCGGGCCGCGCCUCGGUCGAUUCCCCCGGCGACGCCUCCCCCUGGCCGGCGUCGAUUCUCCUCGCCCAGGAGGCGUACGUCGCCGCCAGCAGGAACCACACCACGGCCACAGCCAAAUCGAGGGUCGACCACACCGUGGAGGUCACCUUCUGGAUCGCCGACCCGCCGGCGGUGUCCUUCUACACGUUCCACUGCUCCAAGCCCCCCACCUCCGACUCCGACUCCGAGGACGCCGCCGACUUGCAAGUUCAGCCUCACCUGGUCGGCGCGGAGGGCCGAUUCGUCGUCAUCCGCACCUUCUUCGCUUCCGGAGACGGCGACUUUGAAUACUUCAUCUACAAGGGCGACCCCAGGUCCCCGUCCCUCGAAAGCGUCCCGCUUCCUGAUGAUGAUAGGCUGCACGGAGCCUGCGAGUUUGGGAUCGUGCCCCGCGGGGACGGCGACCAUUAUCUCCUGAUUGCGCUCUGUGACACGGCGACCUUGAAGGAUUACCGACUACACAUCUACUCGUCUGAGGACAGAGCAUGGAGGACCAAGGAGCUGCUCAAUCCAUGUCCUGGGGUCCUUACGAUUACACAGGACAAGGUGAUGCUGCUCCGAGAUGGCGUGCUGGUGUGGGUCGAUUUGCUGUGCGGCAUGCUGGUGUGUGACGUACUUCAAGAACGAGAACCCCUUCACACGCGCUACAUCCCAUUGCCUGAGCCAUUGCCUAGAAACAGAGAACAAAUUUUGAAGCAGUUAAUCCCGGGAGCUGGCGUCAGGCGUAUUCGGGAUGUCGCCUAUGUCGAUGGUCUGAUCAAGUUUGUUGAGAUGGAACACCGCGUCACUGUAACAGAGAUUGUAGAGGUUCCUCCUGAAAAGCCGUCUGACCCCAGGAACAAGACUGUGCUCUAUGAUUCUGACUUGAUCAUGCUCUACAAGCACAAACAUGUGGACAACAAGCCCAAGACACUGCGCACAAUGCAUGGUUGGAGUGCCAUGACAUGGACUAGGGAGAUUGGGUCUGACUGUUGGCUCAAGGGAGUCAUUGUUGAUGCUGAUGACAUUUUGGUCGAUGACUCGGCGUUUUCGGGCUUACUCUCUGGCCAAAGGAAUGAAUCCGCCGGGAGCUUGGCUUUCAAGAACAUGCACUCGGCUUGCCCCACCCUGAACACUGAAAGUGGAAGCACCUGGGGCGCACCCUUUUGGAAAAUAUUCUCCUUCGUGUCAAAUGUUCCUUCCGUGUGCAUUGGUGAACCAUCUAAAAAUGACUCCUGGCUAUUGGCUGAGAAAGCCAACCAUGCACAAAAUUUAGCUCACAGUACUGUACGGAAUGUUCAUAGCUCACAAGCCUGUCCUGAUCAAAACAAUAUGCCUCCACAACGAUGCUUCAACAGGUGGGAGGGGCCUGGUUACGGUGGGUACUCAUCAUGCCCCCCUCAAAACAAUCCGCUACCACAAUGUUUCAACAAGUUCACUGGACCCUGCAACCCUGUGUAUGCACUGUCGGCCCCUGCCCCUAACAUACAUAGCUACGGCAACUAUCAAUUGUUGUGGCAGCAGCCACUACUACCGGAGCAGCAGAUGGCACCUAGCAGGGCAUUUGGACCUCAUGUGGCACCCCAUCCAUACUUCAACAACUGGCGUGGAGCCAGACACCAUGGGAAUUCACAGCAAUACCCUGCCGGUAACUCAUAUUACUAUGGUGCGCACUCAGGCAGUGGCAACCAAGGAUUUGGUUACCGUCCGAUUUACUACGAUCACCGAUACUAA
rnacentral:rRNA from 1 species